rnacentral:rRNA from 1 species
GGAAGGCGCAGGGAAACCGACAAGGCCGCAGCAUUGCGAGGGCCGCCGUGUUCAAGCGCGGGGAGUCAAGUGGGUGCGACCCGAAACCAGAUGAUCUACACGAGGGCAAGACGAAGCGUGGCGAAAGCCACGUGGAGGUCUGUUAGGGUUGGUGUCUUACAAUACCCUCCCGUGACCCGUGUGUAGGGGUGAAAGGCCCAUCGAAUCUGGCAACAGCUGGUUCCAGCCGAAACAUGUCGAAGCAUGACCUCAGCCGAGAUAGUCUGCGAGGUAGAGCGACCGAUUGGAAGACCCGCCUCCGAGAGGAGUCGGCCUUCCUGUCGAACUCCAAACUUGCAGACGUCGUAGACGCUGGGAAUCCGGACUGCGGGGUAAGCUUGUGGUCCGUGAGGGAGACAACCCAGAGCCGGGUUAAGGUCCCCAAGUGUGGAUUAAGUGCGAUCGAAGAUUGUCUCGAGCCCUAAACAGCCGGGAGGUGAGCUUAGAAGCAGCUACCCUCUAAGAAAAGCGUAACAGCUUACCGGCCGAGGUUCGAGGCGUCGAAAAUGAUCGGGGCUCAAAUCCACCACCGAGACCUGGCAGCAGGCGACACCAUACGCCUGACCUAGUAGGCUGGCAUACUGUGCGGGUGGAAGCUCGGGCGAGAGCUCGCGUGGACCGCUCAGUAACGAAAAUCCUGGUCACAGUAGCAGCGAGAGUCGGGUGCGAACCCCGACGACCUUACGAGUAAGGGUUCCUCGGCACUGCCAAUCAGCCGAGGGUUAGUCGAUCCUAAGUCUCACCGUAACUCGAAUGAGACAAACGGGAAACUGGUUAAUAUUCCAGUACCAUCACCACUCAAAGCCGACGCUUUGGGAAACUUCAAGCCGGGCCUUCGCCCGGUCGAAUCACGGAAGCUCGUGGAAGCCGUAACGGCACGAAGCGAACGAAGCGUGAGACAGCGCAAGUUGAAGGUACCUAGAGCCCGUGAAAAGGCAAGCGUGAUGAUCGUACCGAGAUCCGACACAGGUACUCUGGCGGAGAAAGCCAAGGUCUGUCGGGAUCAACCGACGUUAGGGAAUUCGGCAAGUUAGUCCCGUAAGUUCGCGAUAAGGGAUGCCUGCUCCUGACCGAGCAGGUCGCAGUGACUCGGGCGCUCCAACUGUCUAGUAACAACAUAGGUGACCGCAAAUCCGCAAGGACUCGUACGGUCACUGAAUCCUGCCCAGUGCAGGUAUCUGAACACCUCGUACAAGAGGACGAAGGACCUGUCAACGGCGGGGGUAACUAUGACCCUCUUAAGGUAGCGUAGUACCUUGCCGCUUCAGUAGCGGCUUGCAUGAAUGGAUCAAUGAGAGCGCCACUGUCCCAACGUUGGGCCCGGUGAACUGUACGUUCCAGUGCGGAGUCUGGAGACCCCCAAGGGGAAGCGAAGACCCUAUAGAGCUUUACUGCAGGCUGUCGCUGGGACGUGGUCGCUGAUGUGCAGCAUAGGUAGGAGACACUACACAGGUAUCCGCGCUAGCGGACCACCGAGUCAUCAUUGAAAUACUACCCGUCAGUGACUGCGACCCUCACUCCGGGAGGAGGACACCGGUAGCCGGGCAGUUUGACUGGGGCGGUACGCGCUCGAAAAGAUAUCGAGCGCGCCCAAAGAUUUCCUCACGCGAGUCGGAAACUCGUGGAAGAGCGCAAGAGCACACGGAAGUCUGACAGUGUCAUUCCCAACGAGUGACGCUGACGCGAAAGCGUGGUCUAGCGAACCUACGAGGUUCAUUCAUGGGACCCGUAGAUGACAGAAAAGCUACCUUAGGGAUAACAGAGUCGUCACCGGCAAGAGCACAUAUCGACCCGGUGGCUUGCUACCUCGAUGUCGGUUCCCUCCAUCCUGCCUGUGCAGAAGCAGGCAAGGGUGAGGUUGUUCGCCUAUUAAAGGAGGUCGUGAGCUGGGUUUAGACCGUCGUGAGACAGGUCGGCUGCUAUCUAUUGGGGGUGUUACGGUACUUGACGGGAACGAUCGUAUAGUACGAGAGGAACUACGAUUGGUCGCCGCUGGUGUAUCGGUUGUCCGAAAGGGCAGAUGCCGAGUAGCUACGCGACACGGGGUAAGAGCUGAACGCAUCUAAGCUCGAAACCCACCUGGAAAAGAAGUACCACCGAGGACACUUGUAGAAGACAAGUUCGAUAGACUUGGGAUGUACGUGCCGAGGCAACGAGGCAUUCAGUCCACGAGCACUAACAGUCCAAAGCCA